rnacentral:snRNA from 1 species
AGCUUUGUGCAGUGGCAGUAUGGUUGCCAAUGAGGUUUAUGUGAGGUAUGAUUAUUGCUAAUUGAAAACUUUUUCCAAAACCCCACCACGACUUGCAAUAUAGUUGGCAUUGGCAAUUUUUGAGUCUGUACAGG